rnacentral:rRNA from 1 species
UACGUAGGGGGCGAGCGUUGUCCGAAGUUACUGGGCGUAAAGCGCGCGUAGGCGGCUUCUUAAGUCUGAGGUGAAAGGUUCAACGCUCAACGUGAACAGUGCCUUGGAUACUGGGAGGCUUGAGUAUGGGAGAGGGCAGUGGAAUGGCUGGUGUAGCGGUGAAGUGCGUAGAUAUCAGUCGGAACACCCAUGGCGAAGGCAGCUGCCUGGCCUAAUACUGACGCUGAGGUGCGAAAGCGUGGGGAGCAAACAGG